AUUGAACGCUGGCGGCAGGCCUAACACAUGCAAGUCGAACGAGUGGCGGACGGGUGAGUAAUGUCUGGGAAACUGCCCGAUGGAGGGGGAUCACUACUGGAAACGGUAGAUAAUACAGAAUACCAUCGGAUGUGCCAAGAUGGGAUUAGCUAGUAGGUGGGUUAACGGCUCACCUAGGCGACGAUCCCUAGCUGGUCUGAGAGGAGGACCAGCCACACUGUAACUGAGACACGGUCCAGACUCCUACGGGAGGCAGCAGUGGGGAAUAUUGCACAAGGGGCGCAAGCCUACUGCAGCCAUGCCGCGUGUAGGAAGAAGUCCUUCGGGUUGUAAAGUACUUUCAGCGAGGAGGCGUUACUCGCAGAAGAAGCACCGGCUAACUCCGGGCCAGCAGCCGCGGUAAUUC
rnacentral:rRNA from 1 species